rnacentral:rRNA from 1 species
CUGGCUCAGGAUGAACGCUAGCGGCAGGCCUAAUACAUGCAAGUCGAGGGGUAACGCGUGUAGCAAUACAUGGCGACGACCGGCGAACGGGUGCGUAACGCGUAUGGAACCUGCCCCUUACACGGGGAUAGCCCUCGGAAACGAGGAUUAAUACCCGAUAUGAUAGGUAUCUGCAUGGAUACAUAUUGAAAGCUGAGGCGGUAAGGGAUGGCCAUGCGUCCGAUUAGUUAGUUGGUGAGGUAACGGCUCACCAAGGCGACGAUCGGUAGGGGAACUGAGAGGUUUGUCCCCCACACGGAUACUGAGACACGGAUCCGACUCCUACGGGAGCAGCAGUAAGGAAUAUUGGACAAUGCCCGAAGGUGAUCCAGCCAUGCCGCGUGCAGGG